UUGAUUAUCAUUAGCCGGCCUUGGUUAAGCUCACAAACAUCAUUUGGAUCUCUUCGUCUUGUAGUAUGUACAAAGUUUUCCAUCCUCUCAGAUCAUUGCUGGAAAAGGCUUUUGUUUGAACGCAAAAAAAUUAGAGAGGCUUUUGUAUACUCGUUAACAUUUCUCCCAUUUUAUAUCAUAGAUUGUCGCCGUUGGAAAAUGAACAAAUGCUCUCACUAGCCAAUUUUGAGCAUAAUGAAACCGUUUACAAUGUAAACAUUUCUUUUAAGACUUGUUAGGACCAAACAUGCGGCACACCUUACAUUAGACAGUCAACUUAUCUCCUCUAAUGCAAUCAGAAGAUAGAUAGGUAUACAUGGUUCACAUCCGCAUCACAUCCUGAUAAAAAUAGAUAAAAAUAGAGUUAAACGAUUUGAGGCUACAUGAAGUAGCACUUGUACACAAGUGCUGCAACAACACGAACAGGGAAAAGCUCUUCACGCAGCAAGAUCCUUGGUUGCCAGGGGCAUGAGCUGCAUCACAACUUGUACAUAACCAAGCUAGCUAUCAAUAACAACAUCUGUUAACCGACAAAUAAUGCAGCAGUCACAAUGCCAAACAAGAUAAUUAAGCACCUAAACCAUCAACUUGCAGCUAAAUAAGCUGAAACGGAACAAAACAAUCUUGCUUCCUGGUGUGUCAAACCCACACAAGGACAACACCAAAAAAUAGUACUAAACAAUCCUUCAAUCCAAAAAUUCAACUCAGACCAACCAUUUACUUCCAUAUUAUCUCAUUGACAAAAUCAGGAGGUGAGUAAACAAUCUGAUUUUCCCCAAGUACACCAGCGACUAAAAUCCAACCCGCAAACACUAAACCAUUUUUUGUUUCACUAGAAGCACACCGCAUAUCAGUUUUUGUACCAAAGAUUAUUCAUAACCAAAACCAAGCUGCUUGCUACUUCCUUGAUCUAAAAAAGCUGCUUGCUACAAGUGUAGAGGAAAUCAAACAACAGUAUAAUCGACCAAUACAAUAAAUUGCCCAUAAAACAGUAAAAAAAAUCCAGCCCAUUAUAAGUAAUCUCGCUUGUCACAUGCAUCAUCUCUCUGCUAACCUGGAGCCAAACAACUAGAAAAACUCUGUUUACAAAUCCAAGUCAACCCAAAUAGCAUGAACUCUAAAUCAUAAUGUAUGCGUUUGAUCUGAACUCUAAUUUAUCCUAAAUUCAGUGGCACAUAGUUCAUCAGGAUUUCAGAAUCCAAGACCAAAAGAAUAUUCACUAGACUUAGCUAUGGUCAGAUACUAACCCAAAUAGCUAAGAGAAAAAUUAGUAAGAUGCGCCAUCGUUCAGAUUAUUCACUUGUAAAGCACGCCCUCUCAACCAAAACCAACUGCCUCUGGUAGCUUUGAUGCACACAUGCACCCCAGCGAAACCAGCCAGAUCAGCAGUACCAAAGGAAUAAAAGGAACAAAAUCAAAAAAUAACCAAAAACGUGCAAAUCUGGAACAGAUGAAAAGCUAGGAGAAAAGCACAAGUACAGGUCGUGAUCCAGCCUCACCGGCAGAAACAAUGAAGAAAAAUCAUUUCUCACGGCCAGAUCCGUGGACGAGGACCGCAUCCUCAGCAGAUCACAUGUUGGCCAAACUCGAACUGAUCUGGCUGCCGGAGUGGAAGAGGACAAGCACUCCAGCCGUCGCCUCGGUCACAGGCACAUCAUUGGAGCGGAGGUUGGGUGUGGCGGCGACAUGAGCAGACGAGAGGUGGUUGGUGCAAUGGUAAUAAUGGAAGAGAGAGAGACAGAGGAACUCGUAGCAGACGAUGCAGUCUUCACGUGCGCAACCCCAUGGCGAGGAUAAGGAGAAG
rnacentral:rRNA from 1 species